rnacentral:rRNA from 1 species
ACAAGCGGUGGAGUAUGUGGUUUAAUUCGAUGCAACGCGAAGAACCUUACCUGGUCUUGACAUCCCGGAGACCCUUAGGAACUAGGGGUGCUUCCAUCUGGAAGAAUCUGGAGACAGGUGCUGCAUGGCUGUCGUCAGCUCGUGUCGUGAGAUGUUGGGUUAAGUCCCGCAACGAGCGCAACCCUUGCCUUUAGUUGCCAGCAGUUCGGCUGGGCACUCUAAAGGGACUGCCGGUGUUAAACCGGAGGAAGGUGGGGAUGACGUCAAGUCCUCAUGGCCUUUAUGACCAGGGCUACACACGUACUACAAUGGCCGAUACAAAGGGCAGCGACACUGCGAGGUGAAGCCAAUCCCGUAAAAUCGGUCUCAGUCCGGAUUGGAGUCUGCAACUCGACUCCAUGAAGUUGGAUUCGCUAGUAAUCGCGCAUCAGCCAUGGCGCGGUGAAUACGUUCCCGGGCCUU